rnacentral:rRNA from 1 species
AUUGAACGCUGGCGGCAGGCCUAACACAUGCAAGUCGAGCGGAUGAAGGGAGCUUGCUCCUGGAUUCAGCGGCGGACGGGUGAGUAAUGCCUAGGAAUCUGCCUGGUAGUGGGGGAUAACGUCCGGAAACGGGCGCUAAUACCGCAUACGUCCUGAGGGAGAAAGUGGGGGAUCUUCGGACCUCACGCUAUCAGAUGAGCCUAGGUCGGAUUAGCUAGUUGGUGGGGUAAAGGCCUACCAAGGCGACGAUCCGUAACUGGUCUGAGAGGAUGAUCAGUCACACUGGAACUGAGACCCGGUCCAGACUCCUACGGGAGGCAGCAGUGGGAAAUAUUGGACAAUGGGCGAAAGCCUGAUCAGGCCAUGCCGCGUGUGUGAAGAAGGUCUUCGGAUUGUAAAGCACUUUAAGUUGGGAGGAAGGGCAGUAAGUUAAUACCUUGCUGUUUGGACGUUACCAACAGAAUAGGCACCGGCUAACUUCGU